GACAACACCGGUAAUGGUGAUUGGCUAAGGGAAAUUUGUCUCAUGCUUUUAGCCAAUCAGGAGCAGAGAGCAGAGUUGGGCGGGAAUUAACGCGGGUAAAAUCGAGCAAACCGGAACUAGCAUAAAAGAUGAAUCACAAUGGUGGGUCUGGUGCGGCUUACCUGAUUGGAAACGAUGAUCACCACCAGGAUUAACUGCUCCAGACUCCAGACGUCACCCGUUCACGUCCUCCACAGUGAUGAGAGAACCAGGAAGUUGGAGGUACAAAAAGUACGAUUUUUUUUUUUUUCUUCAAAUAGUUAUAAAAAAUGUUUAGUUGUUUACCAGCUUAUUAAAAUAUAUACAUUUUUAAAUUGCCUUUACUUAUUUAUUUUCAUAGGUCUAGCAAUUACAUGGACCCCACCAUCCACAGAAGAUUCAGGCAAGUUUUAGUUUAAAACUUACAGUUCUAUUUACCUUAUUUUUAGUGGCAAGUACUCACUUUUUUGUUUUGAUAAUAUACUGAUAUAAUUUUAUUAGGAAAAGCAACUAGUAACUUAAUGCCAAGAUUUUUUUAGCUUAGUUUUCACGUUUCUCUAUUUAGCCGCAGCUAGCUAAAAACGUCUAUGUUCAGAUCAACUAAACAUGAAACAAAACAUUUAAUUUUUCAUAUUACAAUGACUUGAUUUAUGCCAAAUCUUUGUAUAAAUCAAAAUAUGUUGAAACUCAGCCGAAAUAGUUGCAUGUUAAAAACUUCAAAGAUGGAAAUCCUUGAAGUUAAAAAAAAAAGACAUUUGACGUUUUGUCUUGUAUUAAAAACAUACAUUUGUACAAUAAAGGAUCUACUAUGGACGACCUCUGCUGAAAAAUGGCAACCAUGGGAAAAAAAGACCCUUUCACACCACAUUAAAAUGAUGCCAAACACAAAUAACACAAGCGAUUUAUUGUCUUUGAAAAAAAAAAA